CGUUCUGUAACAAAGUGGUAUUGUCCCAGGGGUAACACCCCUGGAUUCGUGGGUUCGAUUCCCACCAAAACAU
rnacentral:tRNA from 1 species